ACAGUGGUGCUUCAGUGGUAGAAUUCUUGCCUGCUAUGCAGGAGACCCAGGUUCAAUUCCUGGCCAAUGCA
rnacentral:tRNA from 2 species